rnacentral:rRNA from 1 species
UACGUAGGGGGCAAGCGUUGUCCGGAAUUACUGGGCGUAAAGGGCUCGUAGGUGGCCAACUAAGUCAGACGUGAAAUCCCUCAGCUUAACUGGGGAACUGCGUCUGAUACUGGCGAGCUUGAGUGCAGGAGAGGAACGCGGAAUUCCAGGUGUAGCGGUGAAAUGCGUAGAUAUCUGGAGGAACACCGGUGGCGAAGGCGGCGUUCUGGACUGCAACUGACACUGAAGAACGAAAGCCAGGGGAGCAAACGGG